rnacentral:rRNA from 1 species
ACUCCUACGGGAGGCAGCAGUGGGGAAUAUUGCACAAUGGGCGCAAGCCUGAUGCAGCCAUGCCGCGUGUAUGAAGAAGGCCUUCGGGUUGUAAAGUACUUUCAGCAGUGAGGAAGGCGGGUACGUUAAUAGCGUGCUCGUUUGACGUUAGCUGCAGAAGAAGCACCGGCUAACUCCGUGCCAGCAGCCGCGGUAAUACGGAGGUGCGAGCGUUAAUCGGAAUUACUGGGCGUAAAGCGCAUGCAGGUGGUUUGUUAAGUCAGAUGUGAAAGCCCGGGGCUCAACCUCGGAAUAGCAUUUGAAACUGGCAGACUAGAGUACUGUAGAGGGGGUUAGAAUUUCAGGUGUAGCGGUGAAAUGCGUAGAGAUCUAGAAGGAAUACCGGUGGCGAAGGCGGCCCCUGGACAGAUACUGACACUCAGAUGCGAAAGCGUGGGAGCAAACAGGAUUAGAUACCCCUGGUAGGUCAGUC